UUCACUUUUUUCUUCUUCUGGGUACUUUAAAAAAUUUAUAAUUGUGUAUGUGUGCAGGUUGGAGGUCAAUGGACAGCACUGGGAGUGACUCUUGGUGGCAAGCAUCUCUACACACUGAGCCAUCUCAUCAGCUCAUUUGAGAAAAAGAAAACAUAGGCCAGCAAGGCAGCUCAGAGAGUAAAUGUACUUGCUGCUAAGCCUGAUGACCAGAGUUCAAUUCCCAGUACCCAAUAAAGGUAAACAAUGGAGGAGGAGAGCCCAGGGUGGCAGCACACACCUUUAGUCCCAGGCCCCAGGAGGCAUGCAUGACUACAAAGAUGUCUUGUGAAUUCAAGGUUAUACAGUGAGACCCAGAGCUCAGGCUGCAGAGGCAGGUGGGUCUCUGUAGAGUGCAGCUUAUACUACAGCUGAGUU